rnacentral:rRNA from 1 species
UGGGGAAUAUUGCACAAUGGGGGAAACCCUGAUGCAGCAACGCCGCGUGAGUGAAGAAGUCAUUCGUGAUGUAAAGCUCUAUCAGCAGGGAAGAAAAUGACGGUACCUGACUAAGAAGCCCCGGCUAACUACGUGCCAGCAGCCGCGGUAAUACGUAGGGGGCAAGCGUUAUCCGGAUUUACUGGGUGUAAAGGGAGCGUAGACGGCGACGCAAGUCUGAAGUGAAAUGCCAGUGCUCAACACUGGAACUGCUUUGGAAACUGUGUGGCUAGAGUGCAGGAGAGGUAAGUGGAAUUCCUAGUGUAGCGGUGAAAUGCGUAGAUAUUAGGAGGAACACCAGUGGCGAAGGCGGCUUACUGGACUGUAACUGACGUUGAGGCUCGAAGGCGUGGGGAGCAAACAGG